rnacentral:rRNA from 1 species
CAGUCGAACGAUGAUGCCCAGCUUGCUGGGCGGAUUAGUGGCGAACGGGUGAGUAAUACGUGAGUAACCUGCCCUUGACUCUGGGAUAAGCCUGGGAAACUGGGUCUAAUACUGGAUACUACCGUCCACCGCAUGGUGGGUGGUGGAAAGGGUUUUACUGGUUUUGGAUGGGCUCACGGCCUAUCAGCUUGUUGGUGGGGUAAUGGCUCACCAAGGCGACGACGGGUAGCCGGCCUGAGAGGGUGACCGGCCACACUGGGACUGAGACACGGCCCAGACUCCUACGGGAGGCAGCAGUGGGGAAUAUUGCACAAUGGGCGGAAGCCUGAUGCAGCGACGCCGCGUGAGGGAUGACGGCCUUCGGGUUGUAAACCUCUUUCAGUAGGGAAGAAGCGAGAGUGACGGUACCUGCAGAAGAAGCGCCGGCUAACUACGUGCCAGCAGCCGCGGUAAUACGUAGGGCGCAAGCGUUGUCCGGAAUUAUUGGGCGUAAAGAGCUCGU